CUACACAUGCAAGUCGAGCGGUAGUGAUGGGAGCUUGGUCCUUGAGCUCGACGGUGGACGGGUGAGUAACUCAUGCUUGACCUGCCGCCUUGACUGGGAUGACUCCGGGAAACCGGGACUGCUACUGGAUAGUUCUUUUCCUCGAAUGAAGGUGACCGCAAUUGUGGCUUUUUCCUACCACUUACAGACGGACCCGCAUUACAUUAUCUGGUUGGUGAGAGCUCACCUCACCAACGAUCCCAUGCUGAUCCUACCUGAUGAGGUGACCCACUGCACUGGAACUGAGACCCGGACUCCACUCCUACGGGAGGCAGCGGAAUGUUGUCUUCCGCAAUGAACUAUGAUCUGACCGAGCCGCGCGGGGGGAGAGAGGUUUGUUUUCGGAUCGCACUUUUCUGUUGGAAGAGAAGAACAUGUGUCGUUCGAAUAAUCUGGGACCUUGCUCGCACAUAACCAGAAAGCUACGUCUAAGUCCGUGCCCGCAGCCGUGGUAAUGCUGCGAUGGUUAGUCUUAAUUGGAGUUAUUGGACGGCGAGCGCGCGGAUGAUUUCUCUUAAUGCUGAUGUCCAAGCCUCCGGCUCGACCCUGCAUUUGCAUUGGAUUCUGUAGGACUUGGUUAAAGAAGAGGAAAUUGCAAUUCCACCUGUAACGUGGAUAUGCAUCUAUAUGAGUAGGAACGCCGAAGGCGAACGCCAGUUUCAGGACUGACACUGACGCUGAGACGCGAGAGGAGGAAAAGCGAUUAGAUUUACAUACCCUGCAAGCCCACAACGAUGACUAUGAGAGCUUAGUGUUUAAAUGUCUCGGGUUUCUAAUGUUACGCCUAACAUAUACCGCCCUCCGACUGCGGACGCCGGGCUCAAGAUUGAAUCUCAUGAGAAUUGACCGCGCCCCCCGCGGGCCUGUCUAUUAAGUCUAGAUGUGAAAGCCCGCGGCUACACCCGUGGAGUGUCUUUGGAAACGUGGGGAUUUAGAGUUCAUAAAGAGGAGAGUGAAAUUCUCACGUGUAGCGGUGAAAUGCGUAGAUAUGUAGAGGAACUCCCAGGGGGGAAGGGGACUCUCUGGUAUGUAACUGCACUUGGAGCGCGAAAGCGUGGGGACCAAACAGGAUUAGAUUCCCUGGUAGUCCACGCACGUAAACGAUGAUUUAUAAGUGUUAGAGGGUUUCCGCCCGUGAGUGACACAGAUAACGCAAUAAACACUCCGCCUGGGGAGUACGGUCGCAAGUAUAAAACUCAAAAGAAUUGACGGGGGCCCGCACAAGCGGUGGAGCAUGUGGUUUAAUUAGAAGCAACGCGAAGAACCUUCCCAGGUCUUGACAUCCUGAGACACCCCUAGAGAUAGGAGUUUCCCCUUGGGGUCUCAGAGACACAGGUGGUGCAUGUUUGUUGUCAGCUCGUGUCGAGAGAUGGUGGGUUAAGUCCCGCAGCGAGCGCCCCCUCUGAUUUUAGUUGCCAGCAUUCAGGGGGGCUCUAUAAGGAGACUGCCGGUGACAAACCGGAGGAAGGUGGGGAUGACGUCAAAUCAUCAUGCCCCUUAUGACCUGGGCUACACACGUGCUACAAUGGAAGGUACAAAGGGCAGCAAGCCCGCGAGGUUUAGCAAAUCCCAUAAAACCUUUUUCAGUUCGGAUGGCAGUCUGCAACUCGCCUGCGUGAAGCUGGAAUCGCUAGUAAUCGCGGAUCAGCAUCCCGCGGUGAAUACGUUCCCGGGCCUUGUACACACCGCCCGUCACACCAGGAGAGUUGUCACACCAGAAGUCGUGAGGUAACCUUGGGGACCAG
rnacentral:rRNA from 1 species